rnacentral:rRNA from 1 species
GAUCUGGUUCAGAUUGAACGCUGGCGGCAGGCCUAACACAUGCAAGUCGAACGGUAACAGGAAGAAGCUUGCUCUUGCUGACGAGUGGCGGACGGGUGAGUAAUGUCUGGGAAACUGCCUGAUGGAGGGGGAUAACUACUGGAAACGGUAGCUAAUACCGCAUAACGUCGCAAGACCAAAGAGGGGGACCUUCGGGCCUCUUGCCAUCGGAUGUGCCCAGAUGGGAUUAGCUUGUUGGGGGUAACGGCUCACCAAGGCGACGAUCCCUAGCUGGUCUGAGAGGAUGACCAGCCACACUGGAACUGAGACACGGUCCAGACUCCUACGGGAGGCAGCAGUGGGGAAUAUUGCACAAUGGGCGCAAGCCUGAUGCAGCCAUGCCGCCGUGUAUGAAGAAGGCCUUCGGGUUGUAAAGUACUUUCAGCGGGGAGGAAGGGAGUAAAGUUAAUACCUUUGCUCAUUGACGUUACCCGCAGAAGAAGCACCGGCUAACUCCGUGCCAGCAGCGGC